UCGGGAAUCUUGCGCAAUGGGCGAAAGCCUGACGCAACGACGCCGCGUGGGGGAUGAAGGCCUUCGGGUUGUAAACCCCUUUCAGGAGGGAAGAUGGGACGGGCAACCGUUCGGACGGUACCUUCAGAAGCAGCCACGGCUAACUCUGUGCCAGCAGCCGCGGUAAGACAGAGGUGACAAGCGUUGUUCGGAUUUACUGGGCGUAAAGGGUGCGUAGGUGGUUAGGUAAGACCUGCGGGAAAGACCUGGGCUUAACCCAGGAAGGUCGUAGGUGACUGCCUGGCUAGAGGGCGGGAGAGGAGAGCGGAAUUCCCGGUGUAGCGGUGAAAUGCGUAGAGAUCGGGAGGAAGGCCGGUGGCGAAGGCGGCUCUCUGGAACGUUCCUGACACUGAGGCACGAAAGCGUGGGGAGCAAACAGGAUUAGAUACCCACGUAGUCCCUGAGCGGGCUGGCAAGGCGCAU
rnacentral:rRNA from 1 species